rnacentral:rRNA from 1 species
AUUGAACGCUGGCGGCAUGCUUUACACAUGCAAGUCGAACGGCAGCGCGGGCUUCGGACUGGCGGCGAGUGGCGAACGGGUGAGUAAUGCAUCGGAACGUGCCCAGUAGUGGGGGAUAGCCCGGCGAAAGCCGGAUUAAUACCGCAUACGACCUGAGGGUGAAAGCGGGGGACCGAAAGGCCUCGCGCUAUUGGAGCGGCCGAUGUCGGAUUAGCUAGUUGGUGGGGUAAAGGCUUACCAAGGCGACGAUCCGUAGCUGGUCUGAGAGGACGACCAGCCACACUGGGACUGAGACACGGCCCAGACUCCUACGGGAGGCAGCAGUGGGGAAUUUUGGACAAUGGGGGCAACCCUGAUCCAGCCAUGCCGCGUGCGGGAAGAAGGCCUUCGGGUUGUAAACCGCUUUUGUUCGGGAAGAAAUCCUCUGGGCUAAUACCCCGGGGGGAUGACGGUACCGGAAGAAUAAGCACCGGCUAACUACGUG